AUGAACGCUAGCGAUAGGCUUAACACAUGCAAGUCGCGGGGCAGCACAAGGUAGCUUGCUAUCUGGGUGGCGACCGGCGCACGGGUGCGUAACGCGUAUGCAACUUGCCCUAUACAGGAGGAUAACCCGUCGAAAGACGGACUAAUACUGCGUAUGCUCACAACUUGGCAUCAAGUGGUGAGGAAAGAAAUUCGGUAUAGGAUAGGCAUGCGUCCCAUUAGCUUGUUGGUGAGGUAACGGCUCACCAAGGCAACGAUGGGUAGGGGAACUGAGAGGUUUAUCCCCCACACUGGUACUGAGACACGGACCAGACUCCUACGGGAGGCAGCAGUGAGGAAUAUUGGUCAAUGGGCGCGAGCCUGAACCAGCCGAGUCGCGUGAAGGAUGACUGUCUUAUGGAUUGUAAACUUCUUUUAUACGGGAAUAACAAGAGUCACGUGUGACUCCCUGCAUGUACCGUAUGAAUAAGCAUCGGCUAACUCCGUG
rnacentral:rRNA from 1 species